rnacentral:misc_RNA from 1 species
GAUGAAGAACGUAGCGAAAUGCGAUAAGUAAUGUGAAUUGCAGAAUUCAGUGAAUCAUCGAAUCUUUGAACGCACAUUGCGCCCGCCAGUAUUCUGGCGGGCAUGCCUGUUCGAGCGUCAUUACAACCCUCAGGCCCCCGGGCCUGGCGUUGGGGAUCGGCGGAGCCCCCCGUGGGCACACGCCGUCCCCCAAAUACAGUGGCGGUCCCGCCGCAGCUUCCAUCGCGUAGUAGCUAACACCUCGCGACUGGAGAGCGGCGCGGCCACGCCGUAAAACACCCAACUCUUCUGAAGUUGACCUCGAAUCAGGCAGGAAUACCCGCUGAACUUAAGCAUAUCAAUAAGCGGAGGA